ensembl:snRNA U6 U6 spliceosomal RNA
GUGCUUGCUUCAGCAGCACAUAUACUAAAGUUGGAACCAUACAGAGAAGAUUAGCAUGGCCCCUGCACGAGGAUGACAUGCAAAUUCGUGAAACAUUCCAUAUUUUU